rnacentral:rRNA from 1 species
AUUGAACGCUGGCGGCAGGCCUAACACAUGCAAGUCGAGCGGCAGCGGGAAAGUAGCUUGCUACUUUUGCCGGCGAGCGGCGGACGGGUGAGUAAUGCCUGGGAAAUUGCCCAGUCGAGGGGGAUAACAGUUGGGAACGACUGCUAAUACCGCAUACGCCCUACGGGGGAAAGCAGGGGACCUUCGGGCCUUGCGCGAUUGGAUAUGCCCAGGUGGGAUUAGCUAGUUGGUGAGGUAAUGGCUCACCAAGGCGACGAUCCCUAGCUGGUCUGGGAGGGUGAGAGGCCACACGGGAAAUGAGACACGGUCCAGCAUCCUACGGGAGGCAGCAGUGGGGAAUAUUGCACAGUGGGGGAAACCCUGAUGCAGCCAUGCCGCGGGUGUGAAGAAGGCUUUCGGGUUGUAAAGCACGUUCAGCGAGGAGGAAAGGUUGAUGCCUAAUACGUAUCAACUGUGACGUUACUCGCAGAAGAAGCACCGGCUAACUCCGUGCCAGCAGCCGCCGUAA